rnacentral:rRNA from 1 species
UACGUAGGGCGCAAGCGUUAUCCGGAAUUAUUGGGCGUAAAGAGCUCGUAGGCGGUUUGUCGCGUCUGCCGGUGAAAAGUCCGGGGCUCAACUCCGGAUCUGCGGUGGGUACGGGCAGACUAGAGUGAUGUAGGGGGAGACUGGAAUUCCUGGUGUAGCGGUGAAAUGCGCAGAUAUCAGGAGGAACACCGAUGGCGAAGGCAGGUCUCUGGGCAUUAACUGACGCUGAGGAGCGAAAGCAUGGGGAGCGAACAGG